UUCUCCUUUUAAUCUGCUUGGCAUCAUAAUAGUAAUGUAAUGCUGGUGGAUCAGGAUGAACAAUUGUCUGAUUGGAGGAUGGAUGCAGCAGAUUUAGACACCAUCAGAUAUCAUCUAUAGGUCAAGGGGAGCUGGAAGGACUUCUCUUCGGUGGUCACCUCUGCGGCUUUUCAGCGAUUCUGUUUAUGACUGAUAACAGAUAUUCUGUCCUUAAAACGCUGUAUCGGGAUGUGGGCCAUUGAAAGGACGACGACAAAUCCAAAGAGGAGCAUUCUGAGAGCCUUAGGUAGUACCUCAUCGGCCACCACAGGUCCAAACCUUGUCAAUGGGACUUUCACAGCUAAGUGAGUGCUAUGUGGACAUUGCUGC